UGCAGUCGAGCGGACAGAUGGGAGCUUGCUCCCUGAUGUUAGCGGCGGACGGGUGAGUAACACGUGGGUAACCUGCCUGUAAGACUGGGAUAACUCCGGGAAACCGGGGCUAAUACCGGAUGCUUGAUUGAACCGCAUGGUUCAAUUAUAAAAGGUGGCUUUUAGCUACCACUUACAGAUGGACCCGCGGCGCAUUAGCUAGUUGGUGAGGUAACGGCUCACCAAGGCGACGAUGCGAAGCCGACCUGAGAGGGUGAUCGGCCACACUGGGACUGAGACACGGCCCAGACUCCUACGGGAGGCAGCGGAAGGGAAUCUUCCGCAAUGGACGAAAGUCUGACGGAGCAACGCCGCGUGAGUGAUGAAGGUUUUCGGAUCGUAAAACUCUGUUGUUAGGGAAGAACAAGUACCGUUCGAAUAGGGCGGUACCUUGACGGUACCUAACCAAAAAGCCACGGCUAACUACGUGCCAGCAGCCGCGGUAAUACGUAGGUGGCAAGCGUUGUCCGGAAUUAUUGGGCGUAGAGCGCGCGCAGGCGGUUUCUUAAGUCUGAUGUGAAAGCCCCCGGUUCAUCCGGGGAGGGUCAUUGAAAACUGGGGAACUUGAGUGCAGAAGAGGAGAGUGGAAUUCCACGUGUAGCGUAGAAAUGCGUACAGAUGUGGAGGAACACCAGUGCCGAAGGCGACUCUCUGCUCUGUAGCUGACGCUGA
rnacentral:rRNA from 1 species